UGAACUAGAUUUGCAUGAUGGCGUCC
rnacentral:piRNA from 1 species